CCGCAGUGGCGGCGGCCGCGCCCGCAGCACUUCCAGCCGCGCGAGGAGCACCCGUGGCAGCCCGUCAAGCAGGAGCCGGAGUCGCCCACCGGCCCCCAGAGGAACCUGCCCGUGGGCGUGCCUAUCCCGACCAGCGGUCCCGCAAACGUUCGCAGCUUCAUCCCUCGUGCAGCUGGGCAGCAGGGCCCGAGAUUUUAAAUGAAAACUAGCUGCCAAUUUGGACAGGCAUAUGUUUCGUGGCACGCAGCCAUGUGAGGAAGCAGUGGAGAAAUGAGUGAAGCAUAAGCCCUGACAUGUACAUCAUGGCGUGUAUCAUGUUAACCUUUUGUCUUAUGUAAACUUUUGUGUGGGAUAACUGAAUUAAGAGAAUUGACCUCUUUGGUGUUGUGUUUACAAAAGUACUGAUACAAUGUAAUGUAUUGCUAGUAGUUGCCGAAGUUAGAAAUGUAGCUGGCAGAUGUUUUCCCAUGUACAGGGUAUUACACUGUGUCCAUAGAGAAAGGGCACUGUGAUAAACUUUGCCAGUUACUACUGACUACAUACAUUUAUCUUGACUGUAAUGUCAGUGUCCCCCAUGCGUGUCCAUAUGUGUGAUACUGCGCAUACCCAAAAUGAGGAGGAAAAAUAAAAUUAAAAGAAAGUGCAGAAGAAAGUAUAAUCUUUCCAGUAGUCUGUUAUAUGCAGAAAUUGAUGUAUAUUCUUUUUAAGAGCUAUAAGAAAUAAUGUGAAGCUUGUGUAAUUUUAAAUGUUAAUGUUGUUAUCAUAUAUAUUUUAUUGUAAAGGAAACAUUAUAAUCAGUCAUGUGUUUACAAACAUGUAGUUUCUUUUAUUACUUGGCAAAGGAAGCUGAAGACCUGGCCAGAAAAGCAUCACACUGUGUUUAUGCCCAAAAGCAAAAGCGGUAAUAGCAUACACUCCAAUGUUUUUAGUAGUGUAGCACUUACUUUCUACUAUGGCUGAGUCUACGGUUUGCUUUGUCGGAUAACAAUGUAAUAAUGUGCGUGUGUGCCUGCAUGUGUGCACAC